UACAGAGGUCUCAAGCGUUGUUCGGAUUCAUUGGGCGUAAAGGGUGCGUAGGCGGCCCUGUAAGUCCGCUGUGAAAGUCAAGGGCUCAACCCUUGAAUGCCGGUGGAUACUGCAGGGCUAGAGUCCGGAAGAGGCGAGUGGAAUUCCUGGUGUAGCGGUGAAAUGCGCAGAUAUCAGGAGGAACACCGAUGGCGAAGGCAGCUCGCUGGGACGGUACUGACGCUGAGGCGCGAAAGCGUGGGGAGCAAACAGG
rnacentral:rRNA from 1 species